GACGAACGCUGGCGGCGUGCCUAAUACAUGCAAGUAGAACGCUGAAGAGAGGAGCUUGCUCUUCUUAUGAGUUGCGAACGGGUGAGUAACGCGUAGGUAACCUGCCUGGUAGCGGGGGAUAACUAUUGGAAACGAUAGCUAAUACCGCAUAAAAUUGAUUAUUGCAUGAUAGUCAAUUGAAAGGUGCAACUGCACCACUACCAGAUGGACCUGCGUUGUAUUAGCUAGUUGGUGGGGUAACGGCUCACCAAGGCGACGAUACAUAGCCGACCUGAGAGGGUGAUCGGCCACACUGGGACUGAGACACGGCCCAGACUCCUACGGGAGGCAGCAGUAGGGAAUCUUCGGCAAUGGACGGAAGUCUGACCGAGCAACGCCGCGUGAGUGAAGAAGGUUUUCGGAUCGUAAAGCUCUGUUGUAAGAGAAGAACGAGUGUGAGAGUGGAAAGUUCACACUGUGACUU
rnacentral:rRNA from 1 species